AUGCCCUGGUGUCUCUCUGUUUUCUCUCUCUCAGGAGUUCUCUCAUGGUGCUCGAGGAAGCAACCACCCCGCCGGGUGCCCUCGUCAGCAUCCGAUGCCGUCGCGCCAGAUCCGGAGGAGAUCGGUGCCGCAGCACCCGUUCUCGACCCCCACAACCCUCUCCCACCUCGCCUGCUUCAUCUCUGUCGAGUCCCGACGCCGUGCCGCCAUGCCCGCCGCGCCCCUGUCGACCUGCUCUACUUCGUUCGAACCAGGAAGAGGACGAGCACCCCGAAUCGCCUUGUAUCGUUGUGCAUUGACUGCGCCCUGGCCCAGCUGCUCCCCUUCAGUGCCGCGCAGGCCCAGCUCGCUUCAGCCACGCAAGCCCAGCUCCCUUCGCCCGUGAGGCCCAGCUCCAUGCGCCCCUGCAGGCCCAAUGUGAGCACCCAGAUCCAGUGCCCCUCCUGUACACAGUUGGGCCUGCCAGAUUUGGCCCAUUCAUGUUUUUUUUCUCAUAUCUACGAAUUUAGCUUUAUCCAGAAAACUGCUAUUUUACAGAAAGAUCCCUAA
rnacentral:rRNA from 1 species